UCCGGGACUUAGUGCNGACGCUAACGCAUUAAGCACUCCGCCUGGGGAGUACGACCGCAAGGUUGAAACUCAAAGGAAUUGACGGGGGCCCGCACAAGCGGUGGAGCAUGUGGUUUAAUUCGAAGCAACGCGAAGAACCUUACCAGGUCUUGACAUCCCGAUGCCCGCUCUAGAGAUAGAGUUUUACUUUUUGUACAUCGGAGACAGGUGGUGCAUGGUUGUCGUCAGCUCGUGUCGUGAGAUGUUGGGUUANNNNNNNCAACGAGCGCAACCCUUAUUGUUAGUUGCCAUCAUUAAGUUGGGCACUCUAGCGAGACUGCCGGUAAUAAACCGGAGGAAGGUGGGGAUGAUGUCAAAUCAUCAUGCCCCUUAUGACCUGGGCUACACACGUGCUACAAUGGUUGGUACAACGAGUCGCAAGCCGGUGACGGCAAGCUAAUCUCUGAAAGCCAAUCUCAGUUCGGAUUGUAGGCUGCAACUCGCCUACAUGAAGUCGGAAUCGCUAGUAAUCGCGGAUCAGCACGCCGCGGUGAAUACGUUCCCGGGCCUUGUNC
rnacentral:rRNA from 1 species